rnacentral:tRNA from 1 species
GGCUCGGUAGCUUAGUUGAUUAAGCGCUCGUCUAGCAUACAAGAGUCCUGGGUUCGAAUCCCAGCCGAGCUC